rfam:Gossypium hirsutum cultivar TM-1 chromosome 24, whole genome shotgun sequence
CACAUCAGUGCGCUUUACUGACGUGGACGCAAAUCUCGCUUCAGAGGACGCGAUUUGGGUCCACGUCAGCAAAGCGCACUGACAUGG